CAGAUUUCAACACUCUCUAAGGUGAAAUUCCAUUAGAGAAGUAAUUUAUUACAUCACAAGAAUAAAAGAAUCUGUUUGCACCCACCGGAGAGUUGCCGCCUGUUCCUUUCUUCAAAGUGUAUCUGCUGGCUUGUUGCUCUAAAGGCUGAGCACCACCGGGGAACCUGCAGCUGCUGCCAGGACUGUACCGCUUCUUGCUCCGGGGACAAGAAGUGCCUUGGAGCCCUCUCAGGCACCCGGAGCCUGGUCUGACUGCUACCUCUGCACCCCAUAUGGUUACACGCCUGUUUGAACAUAAUGAAG